GUGUGGGACAGUGUCAGUCAACCCUCAUUGCCUUGAUACCUACCAGGAGUUAUGGAAACAACCUCUCAUCUGCAACUAUAUGUGAGUCUGGAGAACCUGGAGAUGGAGAAGGUUCUGGGAGCGGCACUGGGCGUCCGGCGAGUGGGGAGGAACCCCAUCACUCAGGAGGGCUCCUUGUCUUCCCUCACGGAAGAGGAGGCAGGGUCCGACCCGCAGCACUACUCCGUAUUGGAGGAACAGUCCAACCAGCUGCAGGGCUGCAGUGCGUCGGCCCCAACCCUCAGUGUGGUGCGUCGCAGCAACCCUCCCAGCACGGCCCCCCGACCACGCUCCAACUGCUACGAGACUUUACCCUACGGUCAACUUGGAGGAUCCACGCAGAGUGUGGAUAGGGACCUGGGUCUUCUGCUCUGGGGGAGAGAGGGAAGCUGGACGGAGAUCACGAGAGACCGGGCCCAGGAGGAGGUGACAGGCGGCCCUUUUGUGCGCACCUUCAGUUUCCUACGCAAGAUGGCCGGCAACCGCAAGCUGUACAGCGACCCUGCCCAUCCAGCUUGAGACAAUCUGCAGAGAAGGAUGGGAGAAACUCCCCAAAUACAGGUAUGCCAAGCUUGUAGCGUCAUACCCAAGAAGACUCGAGGCUAUAGUCACUGCCAAAGGUGCUUCAACAAAGUACUAAGUAAAGGGUCUGAAUACUUAU
rnacentral:lncRNA from 1 species